GCAUUUAUUAUUGAUAUAUUUCAGACUUCAUUUAUGAAAGGUAAUCUAUAGAGCAGAAAUUUGAUUUUUUUUGUAUCAAUUUAAAAUGUAGAUUCAAAUAUUUUUCACUUCAAACGAUAAAGUAAAACUUCUUCAAAACUUAUAUAUGAUGUAUAGUUCGGCGUCCGCAAAAAAGAAGCCAAGGAAAGUGUUUAUCUCUUCUUCACAAAUACGUAUUUCAUUGAAUCUCGAUAUUUAUCAUGUUUAUAAUUUUUCUAACAAUGACGUUCUACCUCCAUAAGCCUGCAAAUGUCAUGGCGAGUCACAUAUAUAUUGUU
rnacentral:lncRNA from 1 species